GAGGGUGUAGCUCAGUGGUAGAGUGCAUGCUUAGCAUGCACGAGGUCCUGGGUUCAACCCGCAAUACCUCCA
rnacentral:tRNA from 1 species